GUCCUUGGUAAGCGACGCUCAGCUCUUCGUCAGUCACUGUGGUACUGUGGUCGGAAACUCUUGGCCAUACCGAAGUCGACCGGCGGACAGCGUAGUUAGAUUAUACUUAUGGUAGUUGGAUCAUCGGUGUUGGUAAAAUUUGAUGGUUAUUCAAACUGGUCAACUGGUUCUGCUGCUUCGACGAGGGUAUCCUGACUGAGAAUGUUUCCCCCGCGUCAGUAUCCGAGAAGAUAGGUAAAUAGAGAAGACAGAAGCAAACGAUUCUUGGUUGGAUGCUGUUCUUGUAGGAGAUUGUUCCUUGGACUGGUAGAAAGAAAUGCAUUAAUCCUCUGGCAGAAAACAGAUGGUCAUAUUGUUCUUUUAUUAAUAUGCUGUUAUGGAUUUCCUGCCCGAAAAUUCUUAGAUUAAUAAUGAUCUCUAUAUUCA